rnacentral:rRNA from 1 species
GAAUAUUGCGCAAUGGGGGGAACCCUGACGCAGCAACGCCGCGUGGAGGAAGAAGGUCUUCGGAUUGUAAACUCCUGUCUUCUGGGCCGAUAAUGACGGUACCAGAGGAGGAAGCCACGGCUAACUACGUUCCAGCAGCCGCGGUAAUACGUAGGUGGCGAGCGUUGUCCGAAAUUACUGGGCGUAAAGGGCGCGUAGGCGGUUUUUUAAGUCAGAUGUGAAAACCCAGGGCUUAACUCUGGGCGUGCAUUUGAAACUGGGGGACUAGAGUGCAGGAGAGGUAAGUGGAAUUCCUAGUGUAGCGGUGAAAUGCGUAGAUAUUAGGAGGAACACCAGUGGCGAAGGCGACUUACUGGACUGUAACUGACGCUGAGGCGCGAAAGCGUGGGGAGCGAACAG